UACGGAGGGGGCUCGCGUGUUUCGGAAUUACUGGGCGUAAAGCGCACGUAGGCGGAUCGUUAAGUCGGGGGUGAAAUCCCAGGGCUCAACCCGGGAACUGCCUUCGAUGCUGGCGAGCUGGAGGUCGAGAGAGGCGAGUGGAAUGCCGAGUGUAGAGGUGAAAUUCGUAGAUAUUCGGCGGAACACCAGUGGCGAAGGCGGCUCGCUGGCUGCAUACUGACGCUGAGGUGCGAAAACGUGCGGAGCGAUCAGG
rnacentral:rRNA from 1 species